rnacentral:misc_RNA from 1 species
GUGAAUCAUCGAAUUUUUGAACGCAAAUUGCGCCUUUUUCCGUGGGCAUGUCUGUUUGAGGGUACCAUUUAACAUAUAAUGUGCAGCGUCGUUUGUUGCACACGUUGAUGAGCUUUCCAUGUUUUUUGAAUUUUUGGUGGCGCCUAAUGAACAAUGUGAAAGUUGUUCUCAGUUAGAGUGAAGUAAAUUUUUUGCUUGGUUUGUGAAAGAACAUAAACUCGCAAUGUGCGUGGCU